GAGUGAAAAAGAACCUGAAACCGUGUACGUACAAGCAGUGGGAGCGCGCUUAGGCGUGUGACUGCGUACCUUUUGUAUAAUGGGUCAGCGACUUAUAUUCUGUAGCAAGGUUAACCGAAUAGGGGAGCCGAAGGGAAACCGAGUCUUAACUGGGCGUUAAGUUGCAGGGUAUAGACCCGAAACCCGGUGAUCUAGCCAUGGGCAGGUUGAAGGUUGGGUAACACUAACUGGAGGACCGAACCGACUAAUGUUGAAAAAUUAGCGGAUGACUUGUGGCUGGGGGUGAAAGGCCAAUCAAACCGGGAGAUAGCUGGUUCUCCCCGAAAGCUAUUUAGGUAGCGCCUCGUGAAUUCAUCUCCGGGGGUAGAGCACUGUUUCGGCAAGGGGGUCAUCCCGACUUACCAACCCGAUGCAAACUGCGAAUACCGGAGAAUGUUAUCACGGGAGACACACGGCGGGUGCUAACGUCCGUCGUGAAGAGGGAAACAACCCAGACCGCCAGCUAAGGUCCCAAAGUCAUGGUUAAGUGGGAAACGAUGUGGGAAGGCCCAGACAGCCAGGAUGUUGGCUUAGAAGCAGCCAUCAUUUAAAGAAAGCGUAAUAGCUCACUGGUCGAGUCGGCCUGCGCGGAAGAUGUAACGGGGCUAAACCAUGCACCGAAGCUGCGGCAGCGACGCUUAUGCGUUGUUGGGUAGGGGAGCGUUCUGUAAGCCUGUGAAGGUGUGCUGUGAGGUAUGCUGGAGGUAUCAGAAGUGCGAAUGCUGACAUAAGUAACGAUAAAGCGGGUGAAAAGCCCGCUCGCCGGAAGACCAAGGGUUCCUGUCCAACGUUAAUCGGGGCAGGGUGAGUCGACCCCUAAGGCGAGGCCGAAAGGCGUAGUCGAUGGGAAACAGGUUAAUAUUCCUGUACUUGGUGUUACUGCGAAGGGGGGACGGAGAAGGCUAUGUUGGCCGGGCGACGGUUGUCCCGGUUUAAGCGUGUAGGCUGGUUUUCCAGGCAAAUCCGGAAAA
rnacentral:rRNA from 1 species